UACGGAGGGGGCUAGCGUUGUUCGGAAUUACUGGGCGUAAAGCGCGCGUAGGCGGACCUGCAAGUCGGGGGUGAAAGCCCGAGGCUCAACCGGGGAACUGCAUCUGAUACUGGAUGGCUUGAGUUCGGGAGAGGGAUGCGGAAUUCCAGGUGUAGCGGUGAAAUGCGUAGAUAUCUGGAGGAACACCGGUGGCGAAGGCGGCAUCCUGGACCGACACUGACGCUGAGGAGCGAAAGCCAGGGGAGCAAACGGG
rnacentral:rRNA from 1 species